rnacentral:rRNA from 1 species
GACGAACGCUGGCGGCGUGCUUAACACAUGCAAGUCGAACGGAAAGGCCCUGCUUUUGUGGGGUGCUCGAGUGGCGAACGGGUGAGUAACACGUGAGUAACCUGCCCUUGACUUUGGGAUAACUUCAGGAAACUGGGGCUAAUACCGGAUAGGAGCUCCUGCUGCAGGGUGGGGGUGGGAAAGUUUCGGCGGUUGGGGAUGGACUCGCGGCUUAUCAUCUUGUUGGUGGGGUAGUGGCUUACCAAGGCUUUGACGGGUAGCCGGCCUGAGGGGGUGACCGGCACAAUUGGGACUGAGAUACGGCCAAGCCUCCUCCGGGAGGAAGCAGUGGGGAAUAUUGAAAAAUGGGCGGAAGCCUGAUGCAGCAACGCCGCGUGCGGGAUGACGGCCUUCGGGUUGUAAACCGCUUUCGCCUGUGACGAAGCGUGAGUGACGGUAAUGGGUAAAGAAGCACCGGCUAACUACGUG